GGCCAUGGAGACAGCAGCGUGGUAGGAGUGGUAGGAGCGGGCCAUCAGCGAGAGCUGCUCCUUGCCUGGCUGCUGGGUGCUAGAGCCUAUGUCCCACUGGCUUGCCUCACUGUGGUUGGUGGUGGCGGUGACAGAGACUGCAGCAUGACCAGAGUGGCUUUUCUGGCUUUGCCCGCCCAGCUGCUCCAUGCCAGGAGGAGGAGGAGACACCUAUAGCCUGCAACACCAUGGCUCGCCUCAUUGCAGGCCAGGCAUGGUGGCUCAUACCUGUAAUCCCAACAUUUUGAGAGGCCAAGUUUGGAGAAUCAUUUGAGGCCAGGAGUUGAAGACCAGCCUGGGCAACAUAGUGAGACCUUGUCUUUAUUAAAUAAAUAAAUAAAUAAAUAGGUUGGGCACUGUGGCUCAUGUC